ensembl:lncRNA
CAACCGGCACUCUGAGUUGUGAGUAGUGUGCUGUUUGGAAGAGCAGUGCCACUGUGUGAUUGCACAUAACAGCACCUGCCACACAGGAGCACUGGCGAUGAAUCCAGAAGCUUAAUCUAAGAAGAAAGAACUAAAAUUAAAAAUGUAACAUCAUCUUCAUGGAAGAGCCAAACAGGAACAUAGUUCAGUGUUAUGGUUACUGACCCCUACAGGCUUACCCUCCUGAAUGCUUAGGGUUUCCUUCUCUCCCUAUUAAAACAAUUUAACCAUCCUUGAUAACUGUAAUAACUUAGAUUGUGUAUAUUUGCAGUAUUAACUUGGUGUAAAUUUGUUUCUGAUCACCCAAACACAUCUGACUAGUCAAAUUAGGUGUGAUAAAGCAGGGGGACAAGGAAAACAUUCAAGUUGAUGGGCCUUCAGGAAUGAACUUAACUAAUGCUUAAAUGAACGGAACCCCACUGAACAGGGAUUAACAACUUUACACAGCUUCCUGCCUACACUUAGUCUGUGUGGUGCCUCACUCUUCCUCAUUGACCUGUAGCACAGAGCUCUCACACAGAC